rnacentral:rRNA from 1 species
CGAACCCCGGCGCGGCAAGCGCCAAGGAAUACUUAAAGGAAUCGUCGUGCCCCGGGCGCCCGUUCGCGGUGCGUCUCGGGUGCGCUCGUACCUCGAAUGUCUAAACGACUCUCGGCAACGGAUAUCUCGGCUCUCGCAUCGAUGAAGAACGUAGCGAAAUGCGAUACUUGGUGUGAAUUGCAGAAUCCCGUGAACCAUCGAGUCUUUGAACGCAAGUUGCGCCCGAAGCCUUCUGGCCGAGGGCACGCCUGCCUGGGCGUCACGCAUCGCGUCGCCCCCUCC